rnacentral:rRNA from 1 species
CACACCGCCCGUCACACCAUGGGAGUUGGUUUGACCUUAAGGCGGCGCGCCAACCCCGGUCUUCGGAUUGGGGAGGUAGCCGACCACGGUCAGGUCAGCGACUGGGGUG